ensembl:lncRNA
CACUCAUUAACAUGGACAAAAGUUUUGUCUGUAAAGGCUGAGGUAAACUCUAUGUAAACUCUAAAAUAUGUUUGAAGUUCACAUUUUGGAUUAUGUAGAUUGUUCAACCUAAUCUCUAUCUGCCCCAUCUGCUCCAUGCAAUUGGUUGCCACAGGUGAUAAUUUCAGUACAUUUCCUCAUCUUUACAAAAGAGCAGAAAACUCGUUGACUCAAAACAUAGCUAUAAUGGGGUGUUUUGAGUCAACAGUUCUGUUGUCCAGAGUAAUAGACUUUAUGCUACAGAUGACUGGAGUUUGCAUGUUCUCCCUGUGUCUGUGUGAGUUCCCUCCAGUUUCCUCCCACAGUCAGGCCAGUUAGAUCUGCUAGAUUGCCCCUAGGUGUGAAUGUGUGUGUGAAUGUACAGUAUACGUAUUUCUAUGUGUCUGCCCUGCGAUGGACUGUCAACCUGUCACGUGUGUUUCCUGCUUUCCAUCUGAUGACUGCUGACCCCCAACCAGCGCCCACCCCCCACCCUACAUUUCGUUUUUCGAGUAUUAAUAUAAACACUUGUUAAAAGACAUAUUUUAAUGUAAGAUGCAAAACAAAUAAACAACAAACCAAGAUGCAUGUCAUGAUCUGACACUUCUUGAGGAACAUCGGGCAUAAAAUAGUCAAAUUAACGAAAUUACUGUAAGUUAACAAUUUAGAAAUUGCUUCAGUUGAUCAGUUGACUAACUUUUUCAUGUAUGUUGAAAGGCUGUUUUUCCCAUAAAAUGUAAGAAAAUUCCAACUUGUUAAUAAAUAACAUAAAUAAUAUAUUGCCGCAAGUAUUGUUUUGGAAAGAGGUGAUAAAAAAUUCAGGUAUGUUUAUCUGUUUGUGACAUUUUAUGCAGGACACUAUAAAAGGGAUCAUGAUAUGGAAGAAAUUUCCCUCCAUGGCCCUGACUACUUUUGCCUGUACAUCAACUCUAACCAGCAGUAACUGUCCUCCAUGCAUGUCUGAUCCCUUCAACAGUUCUCUCUUGCCUCUGGAAGCACCACCAGUCCUGCACAACCUUCCUGACAGCAUCCAAGACGAGAUUCUCUCUGAAGUAGCUGAAGGUGCAGGGGUUAGGCUUACUCCUGAAAUGGUUCAAGCAGAGUUUGCACCCUCUGAAAGUUCACCUUCUAAAACAUCAAAGGAAAAUGGCGCUAAAGAUGACAGAGAAAAACGUCAACAGCUGUUGGAAUCAACUUUGAAAUCACAAAGCACCAAACUGUGCCCCAAAGUGUUGGGCAGGAUGAAAUGUCUCCAGUCUUUGAGGCAUAAAAGUCAAAAUGACCACAAAUAG